CUACGGGCGGCAGCAGCUAGGAAUAAUCUACAAUGCACGAAAGUGUGAUAGUUUGAACCAGAGUGCCUUGCUUUUAGCAAGGCUUUUGGAAAAUUUAAAAUGUUUUCCGAAUAAGGACUGGGUAAGACGAGUGCCAGCCGCCGCGGUAAUACUCGCGGUCCAAGUCGCAGCCAUUUUUAUUGGGUCUAAAACAUCCGUAGCUUGCUUAAUAAGUUUCUUGUGAAAUCCUACAUCUCAAAUGUAGGGCGUGCAAGAAAUACUGUUGAGCUAGAGACUGGAAGACGUAAGAAGUAUGUUCGAAGUAGCGGUAAAAUGUGUUAAUCUCGAGCAGACUCUCAACAGCGAAGGCAUCUUACGAGGACAGUUCUGACAGUAAGGGAUGAAGGCUAGGGGCGCAAAACGGAUUAGAUACCCUAGUAGUC
rnacentral:rRNA from 1 species